rnacentral:rRNA from 1 species
CCUACGGGUGGCAGCAGUGAGGAAUAUUGGUCAAUGGACGAGAGUCUGAACCAGCCAAGUAGCGUGAAGGAUGACUGCCCUAUGGGUUGUAAACUUCUUUUAUAUGGGAAUAAAAUGUUCCACGUGUGGGAUUUUGUAUGUACCAUAUGAAUAAGGAUCGGCUAACUCCGUGCCAGCAGCCGCGGUAAUACGGAGGAUCCGAGCGUUAUCCGGAUUUAUUGGGUUUAAAGGGAGCGUAGGUGGUUAUUUAAGUCAGUUGUGAAAGUUUGCGGCUCAACCGUAAAAUUGCAGUUGAAACUGGCAGUCUUGAGUACAGUAGAGGUAGGCGGAAUUCGUGGUGUAGCGGUGAAAUGCUUAGAUAUCACGAAGAACUCCGAUUGCGGAGGCAGUUCACUGGACUGCAACUGACACUGAGGCUCGAAAGUGUGGGUAUCAAACAGGAUUAGAUACCCGAGUAGUC